rfam:Cavia porcellus supercont2_9 genomic scaffold, whole genome shotgun sequence.
GGGGAUUUAACUCAGCGUCAUAAGUGCCUGCCUUCUAAGCAGGCAGUCGUGAGUUCAAUCCCCG